GGCCCGUUCGUCUAAUGGUUAGGACGCCAGGUUCUCAUCCUGGUAACAGGGGUUCGAUUCCCCUACGGGCUACCA
rnacentral:tRNA from 1 species